UUCUGUAUUGGAGUUUAUACACAGCUUGCCUGACGCACUAUGGAACAACACUGACAGCUGUAGUUGACAAUAGUAGGGGUGGUAGGGGGAAGUUUUCCAUUUGCAAGCAUCUGGUAGUUUGAUUAUUGCUAGUGAUAAGAUGGUUCUGCAGCGGUCGACCGGACAGCGCCGACCUAGAUAGUGAGGCCAUUCAUGUACAUCAUCUUAUCCUCUCCUUUCUUUGUUCUCUUUUCCCCUGAUUAUGCCUAUAACGGAAGUGCUUAUUUGGAACAGAAUUGAUCUGUCUCUGCAUUUCGUUUUGCUUUGCCCUCCUUUUGCAAGGAUUUGUAUUUCAAGAUCAUGUGCUAGCUUGUUCCUAAGAACAUUUAUCUUUUGUCUUUUUCCAGGGAACGUUUAGAUUAUGUCAAGGAGGUCGAUAAACAGGCAGGAACUGAUUUGCACCGAUGCUAUUCCUUGCAAGAAGUCUAAUUAGUCUUCACCAGGCGAAACAAGCUAAUGAGAUAUUAAAGAUAUCGAUAAGUCAAAUGUCAAAAGGAGACUAUGAGACCAAGCUACGGUUCCCCUCAGUAAGCAUGUCAAGCUUGUCUAGGACAUUGAGGCAAGUUCUCUGCCUGGU